GUGAGAGAGAGAAAGAGAGAGAGAGAGGAGAGAGAGAAAGAGAGAGAAUAGUACUACAGCACAGUCGGCACCCAGGGGAAGAAACACAGAGUCCGCCGGCUGCCAUCUGAUUUUACUUAUUUGGAAAUAUCCACUCCAGCUGUUUAACUCGGAUACUUUGAGGAAACUUUGAAGGAAGCCUCUCCACAACCUGUUGUGUGUAUUUCCCGGAUAUAAUGGUCGUACCGCCGCUAUCAUCCCCCUGGGUUCAUUCAUGAGCAGUGACAGGUCGUCUUUAGGCUCGGAUGUGUCACAGAGGAGGUUCAGUUCAAGCACACGGUGUCCUUUGAAAAGAGAGGAGAAGUGAACAGGACGAGCUGUGGGAGGAAUACAAAUUAUAACCAGUGAAAGAAAAACCCGUCCGAGGAGGAGAAUGAUUCAACUGAGGAAGAGUUAGUGUUGCGUUUGAGGUCUGCUGUCCACUUCAGGGUGCGUGGAAAGGAUCCGGAGAAAGAAAGAAAGAGUGUUAAUAAAGUGCUGGAAAAUCCAAACUCAACGCAGGGAUGACUGUCAAGCUGGACUUUGAGGAGUGUUUGAAAGACUCUCCGAGGUUCAGAGCUGAUAUCGAAUUAGUCCAAACUGAUGUGAGUGAACUUGAGACACGGUUAGAAAAGCUUGUGAAACAAUGCCAGGCCAUGCUGGAUGCGGGCAGAGUCUACUGCCAGACCAGCAAGAGCUUCGUCAACGGCCUGCGGGAGCUGGGACACAACUGCUCCGGAGAGAACAUGAUGGAGGAGUGUUUGGAGAAAUUUUCCAAGAAGCUGGCUAUCAUCGUGGAGGCACAGGGGGAAGUGAUUGAGACCACACAGAAGUCAGUCAAGACGAAGCUGCAGAACUUUGUGAAAGAGGAUGUUCGUCGAUUCAAGGAUGUGCGUAAGGAGUUUGAGCGCGGCAGCGAGUGCCUGGAGGGGGCGCUGUCAAAGAACGCUCAGGUCACAAAGGGGAAAUCGCAUGAAGUGGAGGAGGCGAGUAACGCUCUGCUCAACGCUCGGAGGACUUUUCGGUCUGAGGCCCUCGAUUACGUCCUGGAGAUCAACGUCAUUGAGGCCAAGAAGAAAACAGACAUCGUGAUGGCAAUGUUGUCGCUGAUGGAGUCCCAGGCCCAGUUCUUCCAACAUGGCCACCAGUCACUGUCAGAGUUAGACGAGUAUCGACGAAAGCUGAAUGAUGAGCACACACAGUUUGUUCUAGACUCUGCCAGGGAGAAGAGAGACAUGGAGCAAAGACACGCCGCAAUCAAGAAAAAGGAUGUGUCCUAUGAUGACUCCAUCAUGGAUUUUAAUGCUGAUGCAGCUAAUGGGAUAGCAAUGGAGGGGUACCUGUAUAAGAGAGCCAGCAACGCCUUCAAGACGUGGAGCAGACGUUGGUUUUCAAUUCAGAAAAAUCAGCUUGUGUAUCAGAAGAAGUUCAAGGACCAGCCCACAGUUGUGGUGGAGGACUUGCGCCUUUGCACAGUGAAGCCCAGCGCUGAAAACGAGAGACGUUUCUGCUUUGAAGUGGUCUCCCCAUCGAAGUGUUGUUUGUUACAGGCAGACUCAGAAAGGCAGCAGCAGGGUUGGAUCAGUGCUGUCCAAAACAGCAUCGCCUCAGCCUUUCAGGAGCACAGAGAGGACCCACACAGCCCAAGACAGCGCUGCAGCUCGAUGUCGGUGGGCACUAUGGGAGGCAGCGGGGGAGGAGGAGGAGGAGCGGAUCAGGAGAACUCGGGCUGCAAGGCUCUGGAGGAGGUUCAGGCAAUUCCCGGGAAUAAGCAGUGCUGCGACUGCGGAGAGCCCGGUCCUGAUUGGGCCUCCAUCAACCUGGGCAUUACGCUUUGUAUCGUCUGCUCUGGGAUACACAGGAGCCUGGGAGUCCAUUUCUCCAAAGUACGCUCCCUCACUCUGGACUCCUGGGAGCCUGAGCUCAUUAAGUUAAUGUGUGAGUUAGGAAACACGGUAAUCAACAGGAUCUACGAGGCGCGGAUUGAUGAGAUCACCAUCAAGAAGCCCCACCCCUCCAGUCCCAGAGGAGACAAGGAGUCGUGGAUUCGUUCCAAGUACGUGGAAAAGAAGUUCAUCCAAAAGCUCCCUGAAACCGGCAGGAACCCCCCGCUGAGGCGAUCCAGCGCCAGGAGGAACCGAGCUGGCACGCAGGACCGAACCGCGCAGCGACCGCCGCUCAAACCCAAACCCAACCGAGCCACUCUGCCUCGAGUCACAGGACUGAGCCCAAGUGACAUCCUAAAGAACAACACAGGCAGUCACCAAGAUGUAGAAGAGGAAGAAGAAGAAGAUCUAAGCGGUCUUCAUCCUGGGGCGUUGCUGUACCGCUCAGCAGCUCUGCAAAAUUUCCCCGUCAUGGCCGACGCUUUGGCCCACGGAGCUGAUGUCAGCUGGGUCAACGUGGCCGAGGAGUCCAGCACACCGCUCAUACAGGCCGUCUCAGCUAAUGCCCUGGCUGCCUGCGAAUUCCUGCUGCAAAACGGAGCGAACGUCAACCAGGUGGACAGUAACGGCAGGGGACCUCUUCACCACGCCACAAUCCUGGGUCAUACUGGGUUGGUGUGUCUGUUCUUGAAGCGAGGCGCGGACUACAACGCCAAAGACAAGAACAAAAAAGACCCCAUAACAAUCGCGGUGGACAACGCCAACGCUGACAUCGUCACUUUGCUGCGGAUCGCCAAGAUGAACAAGGAGAUGCGGGAGAUGGACGGAGCGUUUGGCCAAUCAGGUCACACAGGGGCUCAGGGAUCUGGGGGGGUACUUGGCGGGACAGGAGGUGGACUAGGCCACACAAGGAAGAGCUUACAAGCUAUAAAGAACCAUAUCAGUGGCUGGGCUCUGGGAGGACAGGGAGAUUAAUGGGAAUAGAAAAACAUCCCAAGAAAAGAGACAGAAAGCUGAUAUUUAAGGCUGGAUGAAAGAAGAUGUUUGUGACAUUGUUAGGCAUUAGACAUCACUGGUUUCACAGCAUCAUGUGAUGUUUAUCUGCAGCAUCUGCAGAGAGAUUAUCCUUCCACACAUGUCAGCCAAGGAAAUGUGCGUCAUCAUUUCCAGGAUUACUAAAUGGAAAAACUGCUUUUCGAUGAGAAAGCAGUUUAAGACCAGUCUUGUAAAGGAAGAAACACAGGGUAUGACGGUAGCAGAAGGGAAAACAGGUCAAUGAAGCAAUAUUUGAAGAAGGGACAGUAUGUGAAAGACAUUCUUUGUAGCACUUUGACCCACAGGCGCACAUGAUGCUGCACUUUGAAACCCACAAAGUCUCCAGAAAUCUCAAUAAUAAGCGCAACAUGUGGGUUUCUCUAAUGUUAAACUUAGGUUUAUGUUGUAUAACAGACCUUUUAAGGCCUGUUCUUCACUGAUAGAUUGUAUAUAUAUGAGGUAUUUUUAUAAACAGUUUGUACUGUUUUAUCAGACGUGUAUUGGACUGUCUUUUUAAGUUCAGUCAUGUAAGCUGAAUUCAAUGUUGGGUUUGAUUCUCAUGGAGGAUUUCCUCCUGCUAUUCUGUGAAUAGUGACUCCGUUUGAGCUCUGUUACAUAUUAGGUUUUGUUAGAAGUCUAUGUGUAUGUGUAUUUAUGAGAAUUCCAUGCUGUCAGUCAGGUCUCAGAGCCCUCAAGCUUGAGGUUAGCAGUGGGUUUUUGUUCGCAUUCGUCUCUUUUUGAAGCUGCAGAGUCCAUUCUUUCAUGAUAACGAGGCUUUUUGUGCUUGGUUUACAAUUGUUCACUCAUGAGGGAAUGGAAACGUGAUGCUUUCGUCUGCUGCUGGUCAGUUUUUGACGUGCUGUGCUUUCUCAUCGUGUGUGUCUUCUUUGCCUUUUUUGCCCUGCUGAGACGUCCGGCUGGUCUCAUCUGCUUGUGCAGUGUGCCACCUACUGCAACUUCAGAGGUGAUGACACGUACCACGACAUCUUCAGAGACUUUUCCCACAUGGCCUCGAACAACCCUGAAAAGCUCAAACGCCGCAGUGCAGACCCCAAAUCUUAACCAGCUGUCAAUACUGCUGUUCACACUCCAUGCUUUUACACACAUUUACAAAACAUGCAACCCACAAGCACACACACACAAACACACACACACACACACACACACACACACACACACACACACACACACACACACAAACACACACACACCGUUAUCCCUGGCUGCCUGCCACAUGUUCAGUCAUCGCUCAGCUGGUGUUGACUUCAGAGGGGACGAGCCCUCUGAACAGUGAAUUCUUUGUGUGAACACGUCAGAGCAGAACAAUCGUGUCUGAGUGGGAAAAGCUUUAUGAGAGCAGCAUGAGGUUUCUUUACGAGCAGCAGAGGGUGACACCAUCACUCUGCCAACAUUUCUUAAUUAAAUCCUGUACUUUUUUUUUUUUUUUAACUGAAAAGGGCUGUUUUAUGUUUCUCUACCACUCUUGUUUAUCCGUCACCUGAAAAAGAAGCGAAAGUGUUGCUUGAAAUGUUUGUAAUUGUUGCAAAGAGUAUGAUAUUAUGUCACCUGUCUGAACUGUGAUGUACACACAUUUUUCUUACAUUUGGGACACUUUUAGACUGUUUUGUUAAACUUUGAGGUACUUGAGCUGUGUAUCAAGGUCAAAUAAACAGCAGAAGCAUGACAAAAUGAA